rnacentral:rRNA from 1 species
CUGCGCCACGAGUGGGAGUCACGAUUAUUGGGCCUAAAGCGUCCGUAGCCUGUUUUGCAAAUCUUUUGUGAAAUUGCCGAGCUUAACUCGGCAGCGUGCAGAAGAGACUACAAGACUUGGAACCAGAAGGAGUCAGAAAGAUGCUGGGGGGAGCGGUAAAAUGCUAUAAUCCCCGGUAGACUACCUGUGGCGAAGGCGUCUGACUAGUAUGGAUUCGACGGUGAGGAACGAAAGCUAGGGGAGCGAUCCGGAUUAGAUACCCGAGUAGUCC